UUGAGUGCAUUUUUCACAGAGAAAUGAAGGCCCUUUGAAGAGAGGGCCAAGCCUGCCUGCACUGCGAAGGGCUCGAAGGCCCUCGGGUGCUACAGCAGGGACAGUGCCUGGAGGCUGCUGGCCUGAGGCUGGCUCUCACCCACUUCCAAGGGGGCGUCCUCUCUGCCAAGCACCAUGACAAGAGGGGACAGCUGCAGCUCCCCUCCUUGAGCUAUAAAAAGCCCCAACACCCGAGUGAGCAGAUACACGAACUUUGCUGGACUCCAGGAGGAGCUCGGCUCAACUACCAUGCUGAGAUUAGCCUGUACCACCAGGCUGCUGCAGGCCCCUCUGGGGGGCUGGGUGGUUCCCAAGGUGCACAUCUCUGCCAAGCCAGCCCGGACGCCCACUUCUCCCAUGGAGCAAGCCACUGGGCUCUCUGUGCUGUUCCUCAGCUUCCUGAUUCCUGCAGGCUGGGUCUUAGCCCACCUGGACAGCUACAAGAGAAGCUCUGCAGCAUGAAGGCUCCGCAGCUUGGGCUCCAGGCACAGGGCCAACGGCCCCAUUAAACCCCUCCCUCCACCCAGUGUUCA